UCAAGUGAAGAAGCGCAUACGGUGGAUGCCUUGGCAGUCAGAGGCGAUGAAAGACGUGGUAGCCUGCGAAAAGCUUCGGGGAGUCGGCAAACAGACUUUGAUCCGGAGAUCUCUGAAUGGGGGAACCCACCUAGGAUAACCUAGGUAUCUUGUACUGAAUCCAUAGGUGCAAGAGGCGAACCAGGGAACUGAAACAUCUAAGUACCCUGAGGAAAAGAAAUCAACCGAGAUUCCCUUAGUAGUGGCGAGCGAACGGGGAUUAGCCCUUAAGCUUCAUUGAUUUUAGCGGAACGCUCUGGAAAGUGCGGCCAUAGUGGGUGAUAGCCCGUACGCGAAAGGAUCUUUGAAGUGAAAUCGAGUAGGACGGAGCACGAGAAACUUUGUCUGAACAUGGGGGGACCAUCCUCCAAGGCUAAAUACUACUGACUGACCGAUAGUGAACCAGUACCGUGAGGGAAAGGCGAAAAGAACCCCGGAGAGGGGAGUGAAAUAGAACCUGAAACCGUAUGCGUACAAGCAGUGGGAGCCUACUUGUUAGGUGACUGCGUACCUUUUGUAUAAUGGGUCAGCGACUUAUAUUCAGUGGCAAGCUUAACCGUAUAGGGUAGGCGUAGCGAAAGCGAGUCUUAAUAGGGCGUUUAGUCGCUGGGUAUAGACCCGAAACCGGGCGAUCUAUCCAUGAGCAGGUUGAAGGUUAGGUAACACUGACUGGAGGACCGAACCCACUCCCGUUGAAAAGGUAGGGGAUGACUUGUGGAUCGGAGUGAAAGGCUAAUCAAGCUCGGAGAUAGCUGGUUCUCCUCGAAAGCUAUUUAGGUAGCGCCUCAUGUAUCACUCUGGGGGGUAGAGCACUGUUUCGGCUAGGGGGUCAUCCCGACUUACCAAACCGAUGCAAACUCCGAAUACCCAGAAGUGCCGAGCAUGGGAGACACACGGCGGGUGCUAACGUCCGUCGUGAAAAGGGAAACAACCCAGACCGCCAGCUAAGGUCCCAAAGUUGUGGUUAAGUGGUAAACGAUGUGGGAAGGCUUAGACAGCUAGGAGGUUGGCUUAGAAGCAGCCACCCUUUAAAGAAAGCGUAAUAGCUCACUAGUCGAGUCGGCCUGCGCGGAAGAUGUAACGGGGCUCAAACCACACACCGAAGCUGCGGGUGUCACGUAAGUGACGCGGUAGAGGAGCGUUCUGUAAGCCUGUGAAGGUGAGUUGAGAAGCUUGCUGGAGGUAUCAGAAGUGCGAAUGCUGACAUGAGUAACGACAAUGGGUGUGAAAAACACCCACGCCGAAAGACCAAGGGUUCCUGCGCAACGUUAAUCGACGCAGGGUUAGUCGGUUCCUAAGGCGAGGCUGAAAAGCGUAGUCGAUGGGAAACAGGUUAAUAUUCCUGUACUUCUGGUUACUGCGAUGGAGGGACGGAGAAGGCUAGGCCAGCUUGGCGUUGGUUGUCCAAGUUUAAGGUGGUAGGCUGAAAUCUUAGGUAAAUCCGGGGUUUCAAGGCCGAGAGCUGAUGACGAGUCGUCUUUUAGAUGACGAAGUGGUUGAUGCCAUGCUUCCAAGAAAAGCUUCUAAGCUUCAGGUAACCAGGAACCGUACCCCAAACCGACACAGGUGGUCGGGUAGAGAAUACCAAGGCGCUUGAGAGAACUCGGGUGAAGGAACUAGGCAAAAUGGCACCGUAACUUCGGGAGAAGGUGCGCCGGCUAGGGUGAAGGAUUUACUCCGUAAGCUCUGGCUGGUCGAAGAUACCAGGCCGCUGCGACUGUUUAUUAAAAACACAGCACUCUGCAAACACGAAAGUGGACGUAUAGGGUGUGACGCCUGCCCGGUGCCGGAAGGUUAAUUGAUGGGGUUAGCGCAAGCGAAGCUCUUGAUCGAAGCCCCGGUAAACGGCGGCCGUAACUAUAACGGUCCUAAGGUAGCGAAAUUCCUUGUCGGGUAAGUUCCGACCUGCACGAAUGGCGUAACGAUGGCGGCGCUGUCCACCCGAGACUCAGUGAAAUUGAAAUCGCUGUGAAGAUGCAGUGUAUCCGCGGCUAGACGGAAAGACCCCGUGAACCUUUACUGUAGCUUUGCACUGGACUUUGAGCCUGCUUGUGUAGGAUAGGUGGGAGGCUUUGAAGCGUGGACGCCAGUUCGCGUGGAGCCAUCCUUGAAAUACCACCCUGGCAUGCUUGAGGUUCUAACUCUGGUCCGUGAUCCGGAUCGAGGACAGUGUAUGGUGGGCAGUUUGACUGGGGCGGUCUCCUCCUAAAGAGUAACGGAGGAGUACGAAGGUGCGCUCAGACCGGUCGGAAAUCGGUCGUAGAGUAUAAAGGCAAAAGCGCGCUUGACUGCGAGACAGACACGUCGAGCAGGUACGAAAGUAGGUCUUAGUGAUCCGGUGGUUCUGUAUGGAAGGGCCAUCGCUCAACGGAUAAAAGGUACUCCGGGGAUAACAGGCUGAUACCGCCCAAGAGUUCAUAUCGACGGCGGUGUUUGGCACCUCGAUGUCGGCUCAUCACAUCCUGGGGCUGAAGCCGGUCCCAAGGGUAUGGCUGUUCGCCAUUUAAAGUGGUACGCGAGCUGGGUUUAGAACGUCGUGAGACAGUUCGGUCCCUAUCUGCCGUGGACGUUUGAGAUUUGAGAGGGGCUGCUCCUAGUACGAGAGGACCGGAGUGGACGAACCUCUGGUGUUCCGGUUGUCACGCCAGUGGCAUUGCCGGGUAGCUAUGUUCGGAAAAGAUAACCGCUGAAAGCAUCUAAGCGGGAAACUUGCCUCAAGAUGAGAUCUCACUGGGAACUUGAUUCCCCUGAAGGGCCGUCGAAGACUACGACGUUGAUAGGCUGGGUGUGUAAGCGUUGUGAGGCGUUGAGCUAACCAGUACUAAUUGCCCGUGAGGCUUGACCA
rnacentral:rRNA from 1 species